rnacentral:rRNA from 1 species
AGCGAACGCUGGCGGCAGGCCUAACACAUGCAAGUCGAACGAACUCUUCGGGGUUAGUGGCGGACGGGUGAGUCACCCACGGGAACAUGCAUUUGGGUGCGGACUAACUCAGGGAAACUUGUCCUAAUACCGAAUGUGAGCUUCGGGGGAAAGAUUCCUCGCCGUUGUAGCGGCACGCGUCGGAUUAGAUCGUUGGGAAGGUAAAGGCUCACCAAGGCUACGAUCAGUAGCUGGUCGGGGAGGAUGACCCGCCACAGUGGGUCUGCGACACGGCGCAAACUCCUACGGGAGGCAGCAGGGCGGAAUCUUGCGCGAUGGGCGAGAGCCGAACGAAGCCAUGCCGCGUGAAUAAUGAAGGUCUUAAGAUUGUAAGAUUCUUUCGACGGCGACGAUAAUGACGGUACCCGGAGAAGAAGCCCCGGCUAACUUCGUG